rnacentral:rRNA from 1 species
AGGACGAACGCUGGCGGCGUGCUUAACACAUGCAAGUCGAACGGAAAGGCCCUUCGGGGUACUCGAGUGGCGAACGGGUGAGUAACACGUGAGCAAUCUGCCCCUAGCUCUGGGAUAGCUCCGGGAAACCGGGAUUAAUACCAGAUAUUACUACGGCCGACAUCAGCUGUGGUGGAAAGAAUUUCGGCUAGGGAUGAGCUCGCGGCCUAUCAGCUUGUUGGUGGGGUAAAGGCCCACCAAGGCGACGACGGGUAGCCGGCCUGAGAGGGCGACCGGCCACACUGGGACUGAGACACGGCCCCAGACUCCUACGGGAGGCAGCAGUGGGGAAUAUUGCGCAAUGGGCGAAAGCCUGACGCAGCGACGCCGCGUGCGGGAUGAAGGCCUUCGGGUUGUAACCGCUUUCAGCAGGGACGAAGCGAAAGUGACGGUACCUGCAGAAGAAGCGCCGGCUAACUACGUGCCAGCAGCCGC